rnacentral:misc_RNA from 1 species
ACAACAAAAUCGAUUGCAUAGCCACCAACGGGAACUUGGGGGCGGAUGCGGUAACCCAAAUCGAGCAGGCAGCGGCCGAAAUCUCGCUCGAAGUCAGAUUGGCAAAGCUCAAGCACCUCCUUCGGCCGGAUCAUGUUGCCCUUCAUCGGGGCGCGGAAAUGCUCGAUCAAUGCCAGUUUCAAAUCGCCGGGUUUGAGGUCACUCGCCGCCACUGAACGUACGAGGACCAAUCGAUCACGCGCACGAGAGGCUGCUACGUUGAAACGCUGCUCGUAUACGCGCGAGGUCUGCGAGAUGGCCGACUCGGGACAUGCGACCAUCGAGAGGAAUACGAUGUCGCGUUCCUGACCUUGGAAGGUCGCAGCGUUACCGCACAUAAUCCGAUGAUUCUCGAUGGCCU